rnacentral:misc_RNA from 1 species
GUAGGUGAACCUGCGGAAGGAUCAUUAAUUUCGGUGGAUUUCCACUGUUAUGAGGGGGAUUUCGGUCCCUUCUCUCCUUCCUUGUCUUUUGAGUACCCAAGUUUCCUUGGCAGGCUUGCCUGCCAGCUGGACAACCUAUAACCCUUUUAAUUUUAAAUCAGCGUCUGAAAAUUUUAAUAAUUACAACUUUCAACAACGGAUCUCUUGGUUCUG